rnacentral:rRNA from 1 species
ACAAGCGGUGGAUGAUGUGGAUUAAUUCGAUGCAACGCGAAGAACCUUACCUACCCUUGACAUGUCCGGAACUUGCCAGAGAUGGCUUGGUGCCCGAAAGGGAAUCGGAACACAGGUGCUGCAUGGCUGUCGUCAGCUCGUGUCGUGAGAUGUUGGGUUAAGUCCCGCAACGAGCGCAACCCUUAUCAUUAGUUGCUACGCAAGGGCACUCUAAUGAGACUGCCGGUGACAAACCGGAGGAAGGUGGGGAUGACGUCAAGUCCUCAUGGCCUUUAUGACCAGGGCUACACACGUACUACAAUGGCCGGUACAAAGGGCAGCGACACAGCGAUGUGAAGCGAAUCCCGAAAAGCCGGUCUCAGUCCGGAUUGGAGUCUGCAACUCGACUCCAUGAAGUUGGAAUCGCUAGUAAUCGCGGAUCAGCACGCCGCGGUCGAAUACGUUCCCGGGCCUU